CCUUACCAUGCAAGUCGAACGCUGAAGCUCCAGCUUGCUGGGGUGGAUGAGUGGCGAACGGGUGAGUAAUACGUGAGUAACCUGCCCUUGACUCUGGGAUAAGCCUGGGAAACCGGGUCUAAUACUGGAUACGACGUCCUACCGCAUGGUGGGGCGUGGAAAGGGUUUUACUGGUUUUGGAUGGGCUCACGGCCUAUCAGCUUGUUGGUGGGGUAAUGGCCUACCAAGGCGACGACGGGUAGCCGGCCUGAGAGGGUGACCGGCCACACUGGGACUGAGACACGGCCCAGACUCCUACGGGAGGCAGCAGUGGGGAAUAUUGCACAAUGGGCGGAAGCCUGAUGCAGCGACGCCGCGUGAGGGAUGACGGCCUUCGGGUUGUAAACCUCUUUCAGCAGGGAAGAAGCCACAAGUGACGGUACCUGCAGAAGAAGCGCCGGCUAACUACGUGCCAGCAGCCGCGGUAAUACGUAGGGCGCAAGCGUUGUCCGGAAUUAUUGGGCGUAAAGAGCUCGUAGGCGGUUUGUCGCGUCUGCUGUGAAAGCCCGGGGCUCAACCCCGGGUCUGCAGUGGGUACGGGCAGACUAGAGUGCAGUAGGGGAGACUGGAAUUCCUGGUGUAGCGGUGAAAUGCGCAGAUAUCACGAGGAACACCGAUGGCGAAUGCAGGUCUCUGGGCUGUUACUGACGCUGAGAGCGAAGCAUGGGGGUAGCGAACAGAUAGAUACCCUG
rnacentral:rRNA from 1 species